rnacentral:rRNA from 1 species
GACGAACGCUGGCGGCGUGCUUAACACAUGCAAGUCGAGCGGUAAGGCCCUUUCGGGGGUACACGAGCGGCGAACGGGUGAGUAACACGUGGGUGACCUGCCCUCAGCUCUGGGAUAAGCCUGGGAAACCGGGUCUAAUACUGGAUAUGACUCCAUGACGCAUGUUGUGGGGUGGAAAGCCUUGUGCGGCUGAGGAUGGGCCCGCGGCCUAUCAGCUUGUUGGUGGGGUGAUGGCCUACCAAGGCGACGACGGGUAGCCGGCCUGAGAGGGCGACCGGUCACACUGGGACUGAGACACGGCCCAGACUCCUACGGGAGGCAGCAGUGGGGAAUCUUGCGCAAUGGGCGAAAGCCUGACGCAGCGACGCCGCGUGAGGGAUGACGGCCU